CCCCUAGAUGUUCUGGGCCGCACGCGCGCUACACUGAACAGUUCAACAAGUCUUAACCUUGGCCGAUAGGUCUGGGUAAUCUUUGAACGCUGUUCGUGAUUGGGAUAGACCUUUGCAAUUAUGGGUCUUCAACGAGGAAUUCCUAGUAAACGCAAGUCAUCAGCUUGCAUUGAUUACGUCCCUGCCCUUUGUACACACCGCCCGUCGCACCUACCGAUUGAAUGGUCCGGUGAAAUCUCGGGACAGCGGCUCGGUCGCUUGCGUCCGACUGCUGAAACUUGAUUAAACCAUAUCAUUUAGAGGAAGGUGAAGUCGUAACA
rnacentral:rRNA from 1 species